CGUAUCGUCAAAUUAACAAUACUCGCACACGAAGAGUUAGCACAGAAUACAUAAACAUAAAUAUACAGAGAAUGAUCAAAUGUCAGGUAAAAGUCAAUUUUUAAUUAAAUUGAACUGCUUUUAUUGAUCCUGUAUUGAAUAUUUGUAUUUUUUUUUCUUUUCUUUCUCUUUCCACAACAGAUGCAUGAUAUGCAACGAUCCCUUAAAACACCACCUACAUAGGAAACACACUAGGUUUCUGAACAGGAUCUAUGUGGCUGAUAGCUUCAUAUAUAAGAUGAAUUCAUCUCCACUUCUCACUAAAACUGCACCUGCUUCAAAAACAUGAUGCAUCAUGAUUGUUCAUCAUAUUUUCACUUUGCUACAGUGAGGGUCAAACUAUCUUUCUUAUAUUGUAAAUAAUAUUGCUGCAAUUAAAGUAACUCUGUGUUCUAAUCAUGCAUGUCUUGAUAAAGCAAUAAGAGACGAGGCUUCUAUCGAACCGACAGAACAAGCCACGUUUUGCCAAUCAAUCGGAUUUUAUUUCCGUAGUGCUGUGCAGGUUAGUCUGUGAAAUCUCAUUGGUCCAAAAUUCCCCACAUAGCAGCAUAUUAAACUUCAGAUAUCUUCUGUCUGGUUAUGAGUGAUCAUGCAGAAGUUUUGUGUUCGGUGACGACAGAAAUGCUCGUCACUGUAAACAAGCAUCAAGGCUAAUUUUUACUCCCAUUACUCCUACAGUGAUGGCGAGUGGUAAUUUUGGCCCCUGCAUCUUUCUGAAGAUCAUAAUCCGCUUCCCUUCAGACGUGAAAGAGCUUCCUGAAGCAGCACCUGCAAACUUCCUGUGCUGCAGACGCACCGAGCGGAGCUGAAGCUGAUGAAUGGCUCUGUAUCGUGCGUCCGUGGGGUUUGCUGUCAGCCAGGGCCGAGGCUUCUGGGAACUCAAUAGGAUCAGCGUUAUAAGAGUGAACAGGAAGGUGGAGGAAAAUCUUCUCAAGUUGUCUUCAUCUGUGCUGGUCAGCUCCAGCUUUCAGGAUCACACUUAAAGACUUAAGAAAUGAAGAUUCAGAGCGAGGUGAGCUUUAAGCCCACAGCCGUCUGAUUAAACGCUGUGUAUUUACACAGCAGGGGAUUCUGGGAGAAAACGCCACCAUCCCAGAGUUAUUUAGGGCUCAGAUUCACCCAAUCA
ensembl:lncRNA